rnacentral:rRNA from 1 species
AUUGGGCGUAAGGGCUCGCAGGCGGUUUCUUAAGUCUGAUGUGAAAGCCCCCGGCUCAACCGGGGAGGGUCAUUGGAAACUGGGGAACUUGAGUGCAGAAGAGGAGAGUGGAAUUCCACGUGUAGCGGUGAAAUGCGUAGAGAUGUGGAGGAACACCAGUGGCGAAGGCGACUCUCUGGUCUGUAACUGACGCUGAGGAGCGAAAGCGUGGGGAGCGAACAGGAUUAGAUACCCUGGUAGUCCACGCCGUAAACGAUGAGUGCUAAGUGUUAGGGGGUUUCCGCCCCUUAGUGCUGCAGCUAACGCAUUAAGCACUCCGCCUGGGGAGUACGGUCGCAAGACUGAAACUCAAAGGAAUUGACGGGGGCCCGCACAAGCGGUGGAGCAUGUGGUUUAAUUCGAAGCAACGCGAAGAACCUUACCAGGUCUUGACAUGCUCUGACAAUCCUAGAGAUAGGACGUCCCCUUCGGGGGCAGAGUGACAGGUGGUGCAUGGUUGUCGUCAGCUCGUGUCGUGAGAUGUUGGGUUAAGUCCCGCAACGAGCGCAACCCUUGAUCUUAGUUGCCAGCAUUCAGUUGGGCACUCUAAGGUGACUGCCGGUGACAAACCGGAGGAAGGUGGGGAUGACGUCAAAUCAUCAUGCGCCUUAUGACCUGGGCUACACACGUGCCUACAAUGGACAGAAA